rnacentral:rRNA from 1 species
AACGCUGGCGGCAGGCUUAACACAUGCAAGUCGAGCGCCCCGCAAGGGGAGCGGCAGACGGGUGAGUAACGCGUGGGAAUCUACCCAUCUCUACGGAACAACUCCGGGAAACUGGAGCUAAUACCGUAUACGUCCUUCGGGAGAAAGAUUUAUCGGAGAUGGAUGAGCCCGCGUUGGAUUAGCUAGUUGGUGGGGUAAUGGCCUACCAAGGCGACGAUCCAUAGCUGGUCUGAGAGGAUGAUCAGCCACACUGGGACUGAGACACGGCCCAGACUCCUACGGGAGGCAGCAGUGGGGAAUAUUGGACAAUGGGCGAAAGCCUGAUCCAGCCAUGCCGCGUGAGUGAUGAAGGCCCUAGGGUUGUAAAGCUCUUUCAACGGUGAAGAUAAUGACGGUAACCGUAGAAGAAGCCCCGGCUAACUUCGUGCCAGCAGCCGCGGGUAAUACGAAGGGGGCUAGCGUUGUUCGGAAUUACUGGGCGUAAAGCGCACGUANGCGGAUACUUAAGUCANGGGUGAAAUCCCGGGGCUCAACCCCGGAACUGCCUUUGAUACUGGGUAUCUCGAGUCC